CAUGCGCAGCCGGCCGCGCCACGUCGGAUGCUGUGGCCGAGGGCGGAGGCGGUGGAGGAGGAGAAGGAGAAACCAACUCCAAGUUCUUACUGGAAUAUUUACAGGGUACUGGAGGGGCUCACGGCAUUAAGGAGAAGGCUCCGGCAGCCUCAGAAAGAAAGAAAACUAGGGAAGCUCUGGAAACACCAAUAAAUGACCUCUGUCUAGGA